GAUGAAGAACGUAGCGAAAUGCGAUAAGUAAUGCGAAUUGCAGAAUUUCCGUGAGUCAUCGAAUCUUUGAACGCACAUUGCGCCCGCCAGUAUUCUGGCGGGCAUGCCUGUUCGAGCGUCAUUUCAACCAUCAAGCCCCAGGCUUGUGUUGGAGCCCUGCGGCUGCCGCAGCCUCCCAAAACCAGUGGCGGGCUCGCUAUCACACCGAGUGCAGUAGUUUACUCUUCGCUCAGGGCGUGUGGCGGGUGCUAGCCGUAAAACCCCCAACUUCUCAAGGUUGACCUCGGAUCAGGUAGGAAUACCCGCUGAACUUAAGCAUAUCAAUAAGCGGAGGA
rnacentral:misc_RNA from 1 species